GGUUCUGUAGCUCAGUCGGUAGAGCAGGGGACUGAAAAUCCCCGUGUCGCUGGUUCGAUUCCAGCCGGGACCACCA
rnacentral:tRNA from 2 species